CUCUACUCUUUCCUACUAUGAAAAUCUUGUCUCUGACAGAGAGAUGAAUGCAUCAAUUCACACUAAGAUGAGAGUUAUUGACUGUGGAAGAGCUUAUGCCCACAUACAACACCAUGUAAACUGUCCACCAGUCCUUCCCCUGACUUCUUUUUAUUUUCACUCUCCAUAAUUUUCCUCUUCUUCUGACUCUCCUACUUAUUUUUUCUAUUUGUUUUGGAAGCUGUCUCAAACUUAUUUCGACAUGAAAUUGAGUUAUGAAUACAUAAAUAAAACUAACUUGAAUGAAAAAGGAAGGCUGCACAAGUAGCAUCAUCUUAGUUUUAUAAAGAUACCACAUGAAACUUUGCUUUUGUUUCUGGCAACAAUGAACCGCAUUGAAGAAAAUUAAUUGAACCUUGAAAUUUUCAAAAUGCUUGUAGAGCAAAGAGACCAAGACCUGUAGCUGGCUAAGUAUCCCCUGGAGAGAAGACAGCAUGCUAUCCAGGAUGCUGGAGUUCACAAGAAAGGUUAAGCUUACAAUAUAACACAUGUUCAAGAGCCCCUUCUGAAAAAACUAAAGAGAUGAAAAUACUUCACACAUUGCUGAUAUCUUCUUGAGAAAGAGUAGUCCUGUUGAAGGUACAGUUGCUUUCUGGCUUCUCUUAGAAAAUCUAAAUUCCAACAUAGUUGUUAGAUGAAACUAUACAAUCCAAACCUCCUCUUAUUGACAAUGGAAUUUGGCUUUGGGUAAGUGACUUCAUUACUCAUCCAUUAGUUAUUCUUUAAACAAAAGCGGUUUUGUUGCUCAACUUAGGAUCUGAACAGAUAAACGUCCAACACCCUUUGCGCUGAGACUUGGAGUGGUGCCAAAGCCAUCUUGAGAGUUCAAGAGUAAAGGCUACAAUGUUACAGGAUCUGAAUAUCAGAUCCAUUCACAUUUAAUCAAUGUCCUUGAGCUGCAAAAUACACAAAUAAUUGCUUUUCCGGAGAUUACUCAAUUUUAAACUUUUUUAUGGUUACCAAACUGGAAAGUUCAGUUUUUCUAAAGUCAGUAUACUCUAUUGUCACAAGAACAAUUAGAAAUAACUCACAUUAUGAAAGUGGAGAUUGUUCCAGAAUAGUUUGGAAUGAGACAGAAUGUAAUGGAUCAUUUCUAUCUCUGAAUUAUAAUGAGUUAUCCAGAUAACAAAAAAGGUGGUUUCUUUUUAGUGUACAUUGAUUAAUAAAUGAAAGAAACAGUUGUAAACCAAGUCCUUGUAAAGAUGCCAAAACAAGGUGGAUUUCCCAUACGAGGUGUUUAGAAAUCAGGGACAUGUAUGAAAGCUUAUUGUUAUGUCAGAACAAUGUUAGUGGCUGAGGAAUUUUGUUUUGGUUUAAAAAUAAGCAUAUGUUAAAACAGGGAAUAAAAUAGACAAAAAUCAUAAUUUAGUUGUUGGAUUCAGUUCCUUAUUACUUAAUACCUAACUUUUAAAGAUACUGAGCCUGCAAAAUAAGUGAAUGUUUGUAGCUAAAACUCUCUUUCCGUUUGAAAAAGCAUUGUUUAGUACUGCCUGAUUUUCUUUGACAUUUCUACUUUCACACAUGGUUAUUUUUGUAAAUGUCCUGCUCAUAAUACUACAUAGAUUAUGGAGAUCUGCUUCAAGACACUGAAAAAUAGUUAAGACUAGAGAAACUUCUGUCAGGUGAAAAAUCAAUGGGCAUAUCAGUCCAUAUAUGCACAUAUACAUACAUACACAUAUGCAUAAUCUAUAUUUACAUAUUAGCUCGCAUUAACCCAAGGGAGAUGAGAAAUAGUAUGCAUUCUUCAAUGGAAUCUGUUGCCAUUCUACUUGUAUCUGAAGUACCUUUUAUUGAAUAAUAGUAGAUAUUCAAUAAAUAGUUAUUGAGUUUCCAAAAUAAUUUAAGCUUCUUAUACUAAAAAUAAAGCCCAGUAUUCAAGAGGGAUUUCAUUUGCUUUCCGAUAUCACAGGUUAAUUUCUAAAAAUGUGUUGCCUUUAUUUUAAAACCAUUGUGCCAAGGUAGCUCAGUCUCUUCAUAAUUGAAAGCUAUUUAAUUGAAAGGUGAUCCUUAUUCUUAGAUUUAAACAGCCAUGGCCACUGACUGCCCAGCUUUGGGUUAUCUCCAGAUCAAAAAAGAAAAGAAAGCUUAAUUGAACUAAAUAACGUGAAUUGGCACAGUUGCUUGUCUACGUUAUUUGUUUUAAUACUUCUCUGCAAAUGGUAAUGAUCAUUUUCCUGGGAGAGCUUAAGUCAAGGAUAGCAGGUUCAAAUGCCUCAGGGGCCAGGCCUGUAAGUACCUUCUGGAGUUGCUGGGUGGGAAGAAGACUUGGCAGGAGACGCUGGUGUACUCUAGUUAAAGGUAUUUCCGUUCUGUCUUCGCUUUUUAAAAUGGUGGGUUCCUCAAACAAAACCAAUUGCCUCCCUAACAUUUGAGGCAGAGGGGCUAAAUUAAACUGAAUAUACAACAGUGGUUCUCCAGUGGCCUCUGCAAAAAGCAGGCA